GAUGAACGCUAGCGGCAGGCCUAAUACAUGCAAGCCGAACGGCAAGAACUUUAGCAAUAGAGUUCCUAGAGUGGCGUAAGGGUGCGUAACACGUAUGCAAUCUGCCCGCAACAGGAGGAUAGCUCCCCGAAAGGGGAAUUAAGACUCCAUAAGAUCACAGGAAGGCAUCUGAGAGUGAUUAAACUACCAGGGGUUGCGGAUGAGCAUGCGCANGAUUAGUUAGUUGGCGGGGUAACGCCCACCAAGACGAUGAUCAUUAGGGGAACUGAGAGGUUGAUCCCCCANACUGGCACUGAGAUACGGGCCAGACUCCUACGGGAGGCAGCAAGUAGGGAAUAUUGGACAAUGGGUGCAAGCCUGAUCCAGCCA
rnacentral:rRNA from 1 species